CGCCGCCCGUGACUCUGCGAGAAGUCCAUUGAACCUUAUCAUUUAGAGGAAGGAGAAGUCGUAACAAGGUUUCCGUAGGUGAACCUGCGGAAGGAUCAUUG
rnacentral:rRNA from 3 species